rnacentral:lncRNA from 1 species
UCUUGUCGAGUAGAGAGUAGAGAGGGCAGGAGCAAAGAUCAGAGAAACAAAUGGCUUCAACCUCAGCUGUUUCAAUGGCCUUGCCAUUAACUUAUGCAAGCCAAAAGAGGUUUCCGGCCUCUGAGGCUUUCUUCAAGCCACUCCCAGCGAGGCCAUCUACGGCUAUGUCAGCAUCCAAAUCCGGUGGUAGGUUUCAAGUCAAGGCUUCGUUGAAGGAGAAGUUGGUCACUGGAUUGACAGCAGGUGCACUUACAGCUUCCAUGGUGAUUCCAGAGGUAGCUGAAGCAGCUGGGUCUGGGUCUUCUCCUUCUCUCAAGAACUUCUUGCUCAGCAUUGUGGCUGGUGGAGUUGUGCUCGGUGCCAUUGUUGGUGCAGUGAUCGGAGUUUCCAAUUUCGACCCUGUCAAGCGGGGUUAAGCGAUGUACAAUUCUGAGAAUGUUUGGAAUUCUUUUACAACUUCAUGUCAUGUAUCUUGUUUGAUGCUUUCAAUGAUCCUCUGUGUGAAAUCUUUAGAUGUAACGUGGCCCAAGACUUGUGAAAUCUAAAAAUUACUUUUCCUGUCUGGAUGCAACACAACAUAGGAACACAACCUCUCUUUUGUUUUGUUGCUCUGAAAGCACUAUACUGUCAUUUGAAACAUGGAAAUACUCAAGGAAGCAAUCCCUCUUCGUCACGUUGUAAGAUGAACAACUAGACAGGCCAUCUGAAAUCUGAUAACUGGGUUACCCAAGUCAAUCUUGUGUGGUCCCUGAAUCUGAACUUGAAGAAGACACCUAUAAUCACACUCGUCAAAUUCUUGAUUGCAUCUAUUACGUUGCCAUCUUGAGUUUCUAGAUCUUGUCACUUUCAUGUUACACUGUAUAUCUCCAAUCAUCAAAGGGCAAGCUGUGUAACAGAAGGAAUUUGUUUUGAUAAAACUUAUACUUGCCCUCACAGUUGCCCAAUCAGGCUUAUCUGAUCUUCCAAGACCUUCAUGCUUGAUCUGAGACGCCAUUUUGCGAAUCUCAUUCUUGGAUCCUCCUGGCACUAAGCAUCAUCACGCCCCCUUGAACAAAUUGUUCCCGGGGAUUUUCCGUUGAAGUCGCUAACCUUCCCAGCUUUGACAGCUAAACAUGGAAAACCCCAGAAUCAACCAUCUCUUUCAAUUUUUGACCUUCCUUGUUGCACAACUGCCCAGCCAGAGCCAUCUUUUAGAUUCAGAAUCCUUCUUUUAGUUUCCAUACCAUUCUUUCUCAAUUUAGGAAUUGAAGGGUUCACGAACAUCACAAUACGGGUAAGAUCAACUAUGGAAUUGUUUCCAGAAAUCUCAAUUUCACUUACGGGUUUGAAGGAAUUGCUGUUUUGGUAUGGAACUAUCUUCUUCAGGGAAAAGAUCCAAAGUUGAAGUUGCCUCCAAAAAUAUCUCCCACUCAUUCUUCAAAUGAUUGAAAUUAUUCUGAGCAGAUUUUAAGCUACCCUUUGAAAUCAGAUAACCAGCUUCAAUAACAUCAUAGCAGCAGUCAACAACAGCAUUGAAGCAGGUCACUCAUAUUUCGCCUCCAUCAGAAUCAAGAAGGUCAAAGUAAAAGACCUUCCCAUCACCUUAUAGCGACGAAGAUCCCCUUUAGCAGUUACUAUGGCUUUGAUAGCCCAGCGUUCCUGAUAUGGAUUCAAAGCAUUGAUAUGAAUGAUCCGAGCUGGUGCCUCAUUCUUCACAACUGCACAUGAUUUCUGUAAACCCUGCACAUCAUUACCAUGAUUUUGGGCACUCAAAGCAGGUCUGAGUACUCAAAAUGGGCCGGAAACUUUUCAUAUUUCCACCGUGACUAGCAGGCCGGAUGCUGUGGAUAUCCAUAUUUGCAUGACUUUGAGAAGUUGGAUUGUAAUAAGCAAGCCCUACUGACCUCACUGAGUUGGUAUUAGGGAAUGACUUGUGAGCAGUAGCAUCAUGAAACAUUUUCAGAAUUUCCAAUAAUUUCAGUCUGGUAUUAUAGUUUCCAGGUUGAGCAUGACAAUAAUCCUGUAUGAAAAGUGACCAGAACAGCCAUUGCCAGUGAAACAAGAGCCAAACACUUGCAUUUAAUCAUUCUUUCCCUCAGUUGUAAGCUGAUCAAGUUACGUGAUACCAUUCAAAAAAGCAUCAUCUCCACGAAUUUACAAUAAAAUUAAGCUAAACAAACAUAAUAAACUCUUAAUUAAUAAUUAACAUAACAGGAAUUAAAAUGAAACAUAAUUAAUUUAGUUAGAGUCCAGCUACCAGCUUAAUCAAUUUUUAGAUUUCAAAAUAAAACGUAGAAUUUCCUUGAAAAUAAAAAUUCAAUCCACAUUUGAAAUUCGAACAUGUGAAUUUAUAGCAAAUUAGUAAUAAUUUCGAAGAGACGAGAUUUAGUUUAGGGAAACAACAACCGAGUGACUGGCUGGCGCUUUUGAACUUGGCUGCAAAUGUUAUCGAUCAAUUGAAUGACAGAUCCUUUCCUGACAACGCCAGGCUUGACUCGGUCAUUGAGCUGAGUACCAAGUAAGGCGUGCUGAGUCAACACGGAAUCAGAGACGAGGAGCCUGAACCUCUCCUGUGCGCUUCCCAUCUGCUUUAAAUCCAAAGCCUGAACCACCGGCUUCAAGUUCACAUCGCCACCGUUGACAUCGUGCAGUUGCAGUGGUCGUCAGAUUAACAGGGAUCGUUUUAGAUUGAUUUAAAUGAGAAUUGAGUUUGAUGCAACGGAAAGAAACCCAAGAAAUAUGAUAUGGAGGGCAGCAAUGGCAUUGCAUUGCAUUGCAAGCCAAUAGAAUUUGGUUUGUUAUCUAAAGUAUUUUUUUUAAUUAUUUUUUUUAAUUUUUAAUUAAUAUUUUUAUAUCAUUUUGUGCUAAUAUUAAAAAUAAUUUAAAUAUAUUUUUAAAUAAAAAAUACUUUAAAAAACAACUAUUACCACAUUCUCAAACUUCCCAAAGCAAUGUUAUGAAUACUCAUAUAGUCAACAUAAUUAAACUCACCAAUGUGCUUCAUUGGAAAAAAAAAAAAAAGAUUGUCAUUAAUUGCAUUUAUUAGUGGAGAAACUUUAGCCUCAAUUAUAAAAAUCGACUCACCGAAACUUUAACAUAUAUAUAUAUAUAUAUAUUCAUGUUAUGCAUUGGAGAACUUAUUAUUAGUGGACUACACUAUAUUCUACAAGUCAUCAAGCCAAUAUCUUUUGAAGAAUUGGCUACUAAACACAUGAUAUGGAUUUGGAACUUGGUAUUGCUGCAGUUAGAAAUUUAUCAUUUACCUAUAUAGGAGUCUAAGAAACACAAUCAUAAAGAUCAUAGAUUUGGAAAGAGCACUUUAAAGAUCGAGGGAAAUUAAUCUUUAGUAAUUAACGUAGCUAUCAUAAAGGUAUAAACUAGAGCUAAAAAGAAUGAUCAUGCAAACAUAUCAAGGAUGCUAGAUAAUUUGUUUGAGGCAAAUCUCACUUAGUUGCUAGAGGUGAAUUGUUCUGAAAAGAAAAACCAAGUAGACAAUCCAAAUUAUUAUAAAUAUCAUCGCCUGAUCAAUCAUUGAAUAGAAAAAUAUUUCAUGUUAGAGGAAAAAUUCAUGAGCCUAAAUAAUAAUAGGGUCACUAUUUUUUAUGAAGAAAACACAGUUUCCAUGUAAACCUCGAUUAUAAUAUUUUAUCGAGUUAGUAAAAUAUAUAUAAAAAAAUUAAUCUAGAGAUAAAAUAGAUUAAAUUAAAAACUUAAUUAGACAAAAAAACAAGGUGAAAAUGAAUGAAAUGAAAAGAAAAUAUAUCAUUAAUUUGGUAGAAAGAAAAACCUAAUGAGGACAAAAUGAAAUAUAUGAGAGAAAGUGGGGUCAAUGUGUAAAUAACAUAAAUUUAAACUAUAAAUGUUCACUCCCACCUUUAUAGCUAGUGGUUUUACAAGGAAAAAAGAGGAGUUAGGGUUUUUUGAUUUACUCUUCUCAAUUCUUGAUGAAAUCACUUAAAAAAGACUAAAUUGGAGUGAUCAAAAGGAUUACUAAGUGAUAAAAAAAGAUAAAUUUAGGUGGGUUAGCGAUUUUAAAAACUUUAAAGUUAAGGUUUUAAAUGGAUUAAAGGAAGGAAGGGAAAAAUAAAAAGAACUUGGGUUAUUCUUGCAUUUUUCACUUGAAUUAGCAUCCAUUUAAGGUAAAGAACUCAUUUAAAGAGAUUAGUUUGGAUGAUUAUGAGAUAUAUGAAAUGUUAAAUGCAUUAGUGUUAUGUAAAAAUUGAGUUAUAAAAAUUGGUUGUUUGAAAUGUUGUUUUUAUGAAUUUAUGAUGUCUUUUAACAUGAAAACAGAAUAGGUAUUGUGUGAAUUAAACAAUUGAAAGAAAAAAUUGAACUAAUAUCUGAUGUGCUGUAUAAACUGGUUAACUAUUUAAGAUUACCAAAUGAUUUGGUUAUUCAAUUAACAAAAGGAAUAAUGAAAUUGACUACUAUAUAAUUUGGUUAAUCAAAUUGGCUGACCAUUUGUUCGACCAUUAAAGACAUCAAUGAAAUUUAGUAGUAUUCGGUCAAUUAAUUGGUUAUGCCAAUGUGAAGUAAUUGACAAUGAACUAUUACUAUUUUAUUUUUAAAAAAAAAGACUUGUUAUUUCCUAAAUUUAAAAAUGAAAUUUUGCAUAACUUAGACUAAGAAAAGUGAGGAUGUUACAAUUAGGAAAGAGGUUCCAGUAAUGAAUGGAUAUUGUGUAAUAUUUAAUAUUUUUGUUGACACAUGAGAUGUUGCAGGAGUGGUACAACCACUAGAUAGUAGAUAAUAACUCUCAUGUGCCACCAAUAUCUAUUCAGUCAAGACAAGGAGAAUCAUCUACAUUCCAAGAUGACAUCGUUUCUAAACAGCCUAGGGCGUCAUAACUAAAAAGGGCUAGAUCAUCAAGGACAAAUAGUUGUGCCUCCACUAGUAGCACCCACGGGAGCCCCCGCACCAUAUGACAAUGUUGUUUUCCUAGCAUGGUUAGUAAGGGCAAUAAUUGAGGGCAUGACGAACAUAUCAGCCCAAUAACCCUAACAAUGCCAGCAACUCUAGUAGCAACGAUACCUACAGACAAUAUGGCUUCCUUAGUAAGGAUCUUAAAGUGUAUGAGAAAGAUGAGUUGUGAGUCCUUAUUAGGGGAAUAAAAUACGAAGAUUGCUGGGAGAUGUAUUAUGAAAAUAAAGAAGACAUUGAUUCAAAUCAAAGUGGCAGAAGACUUACAAGUAGAUUGUGUCACUCAACUAUUAUUAGAUAGGGCACAAUCUUGAUAGGAGAUUGUACAAUCGAGGUGGACCAUAAAAUUAAGGACAUGGAGUGAUUUUAGUGUACAGUUUGAGAAUUAGUUUUUAUUCUAAAUAUCACUAUAUGGUGAAAGAACAAUAGUUUCUAGAAUUGAGAUAAAAUGACAUGUUAGUGUUUGAUUAUGAGAGGAGGUUAUAUAACCUCUCUAUGUUUGCCCUAUAUUAGAUUCCUAUUGAGCAACACAUGAUUGAGAGACCACAUGAUAGUUUACGACAUCAUUUGAAAUAGGGUUGAUUGCAUUCUAGUCUAAGACAAUGAGUGAUUAGUACUUAAAAGUGUAUUUUUAUCAAGGUUUUAUAUCAGCAUUUUACACUGGAAGUAUCAAUAACUCCUUAACUAGAGCAUGCUUUAUAAUAACAUGUCUAAUAUUAUGAGAUACCUUUAAUUUAUAGUAAAUGUUCAUCUUAAAUGAAAGUCUAUCACAUAAAUCAAAGGAUUGAUUGAUGAGUUUAACUACUAAAAUUAAGAAGACAAAGAGCGGGUUAAGCUUAGAAAAAAGAUGUCGGUUCAGUCCAAACUGGAACACUAUUCAAUUAUUGAAUCAUAACUGGAGUUGUACAACUUGGAUUUAGGUCUGGUUUAUAUGGAUGGAAAGCUAAGACAUAGGCCUAAGACUUUCAUGAGAGUCCAAAAUUCAAAAAGAUCGUUUUCAAGUUCAAAUUGUAACAACAACGGAGAAGUAGGAAUUUUUCCUACAGUCUAGAUACUAUUCAGUGUUUAGCUCAAUCUCGAAUUCUAGAAGUCAAAAUGCACCGAUUCUAGUUUUGUUGGAAAGCUGAGACAAUUUCCCAGAACAUUCAUAAAGACUAUCUGUUCAAAUUCCAAUGUUAUCAAUAAUGAUUUAUUCCGACAAGAAAAUAAUGUUUGUCACCAAGUCAAGAUGUGGUCACCCACUCAACAAUUAGUCAUCAAAUCAAUAGUUUUGAAUUUUGGCCUAUAAAAGGAGGCAUUUGCCAUGCAUUUAGCAUCUUGGUUUUCAUAUCAAGAUCAUGUUGCUCCUUUUCUUUAUAUUUUUAUAAUGCUUAAGUUUUGCUUUCAUUAAUCUCUUGUUUAUGCCUUUCAUUUUCUUUACUAUACUUAUAUAAUCAUGUUAUCCUCUUGUUUAUUUAUGUUUCUCUUCUUCAUUAUGUUUAGCUAAGUUUAUUAUGUCAAGGUGAAAAGGGUAUACUAAUGGUGUUAGAAUAGGUAUAAUAUAAACGCAACAUAGACUUCAAUGUUUAUAUCCAAGAAAGUUUGUUAUUAACAAGUCUUAUCUUUUUAUCUUAUUAAUUCUUAAUACCAUGCUUGUUAAAUGGUUAAUCUAGAUUUUUAUGGUAUAACACUUGGUACAAUAAAUGUUUGGCACUUUCAUAGUCAACCGUAUGGUAUAACCUACACUUGUGCUAUGAAAGGAACUUCAUUUGUUGUUAACAUAAGUUAACAUCAUGAAUUCCUGACAAUAUUUAAAAUUAUGGUGUUACUAAACUAAGAUAAUUAAUAUGAUCAUGUUAAAAAUUUAUAAUGAACUAUUAAAGAUAAAUCAUCCGAUUGGAACCUCCUUUAUGUGUGGUUUCGAGUUGAUUAAUAAAAAGAAUCCGUACUAUACUUAUUUCUAAUACUAUUAAUGGAUCCUCUAACCUUGAUAAUUGCUUUUAUCUUUGAUUAAUACUCACAUCAAUAUCACAUCUUAAAAGUUCUCUUCAACUCCUUUUUAUUUGUUGUUUAUAAUUUUAUAUAGUUCAAUUCCCUGGGUUUGAUCCCGAUCUUGCCGGGUUAUUUAUUACUUCGACAGCACUUGGGAAAAGACAUCAAUCUUUUAAUCAUGUCAACGAGAGAGUUGAUAUAGGUAGCUCAGUCUCUAGAAGCACAUAUUGGAAAGGGCCAACAAGACCAGUUUGGACCAGGUAAGAGGAAAGAUAUUGAUUUCUUUUCAAAUAGACCUCCCUUUUUUAAGAAGGGUAAAGAGGAACAAUUUAAUCAGUUCAAGAAUAAAGAAGAAGAUGUCGGUCACUGAAUGGCAACAAUUUGGUCUUUAUAGAGUAAGUGAAGGGUUGACUAAAGGAUAAUCAAACCUGAAGGGUAGUUAUGCUGAAGGGGCUUCAAAGAAGACCAUUACUUAUCCUUAUUAUGUACGAUGUAAACAGAUGUAUCCAAGAGGUUGUUUUGCAUCGCUAGGUCAAUGCUAUAUUUAUAAGCAGGAGAGACAUGUAUGGUGGGACUGUUCAUAAUUAGGUCGUGGAUGUUAUUAUUAUGGAGGGCAGGGACAUUUUAAGAAGGAUUACCCUUGAAGAGUUAAGUAUAUUUAGGGACAAAAGCAACAGACACAUAGACAACAACAGUCUGUUAUUGUGGAUAGACCUACCAGGCCAACACAAUCAGAGGCUAGUGGUAAUAGAGGACAUCCUAGAGUACAAAGAGAUAGGACACAAGGGAGAGUGUUCCAUAUGACCUAAGAGGACAUUAAAGUUACUCUUAAUAUAAUGGCAUGUAUGCUACAAUUAAAUUCCUUUCUUAUAUAUACAUUAAUAGAUCCUGGUGCGACCCACUCAUUUAUAGCAAAUAAAAUUAUAGGAGAACUUAAGGGAGAACCUAGAAAAAAAAAAAAAAGGUUCACAAUUGAUACCUCUUUGGGGGAGAGUGUAGAUAUUGAUCAUGUUUACAAAGGGAUAAAGGUUAGCAUUAAUGGUUGUGAGAAGAGGAAAGAUCUAAUACCUUUAGAAUUACAUGACUUUGAUGUAAAUUUGUGUAUGGAUUUGUUGGGUUUAUAUAAGGUUCAAAUGGACUAUUUUGUAAAAAUAGUGGUUCUUUAAGGACUAAAUGGUAGAAGAGUAAUAUUUAGAGAGGAAAAAAAACUUCAUAACAAACUAUAUUAUUUUGGCUAUGACUUUUAGAAAAAUGAUGAGGAGAGGAGGUGAGGUUUACCCUGCAUACGUGAUGGAUUUAAAAAAUAAAAAUGUUGAAUCUCUCCAUAGUAAGAGAAUUUUUAGACAUAUUUCUAAAACAAUUAUUAAGAUUACUUUAGGAAAAGAAAGUAGAGGUCUCUAUUGAUAUAUUACCCGAUACCUCUCUUAUAACCCAGUCACCCUAUAAGAUUGUGUUUGUAGAGUUAGAUGAGUUAAAGAUUUAACUAUAAGAAUUGAUAGAUAAAUAGUUUAUACGCCCAAGUGAUUUUUCAUGGGGAGCUCCAAUGUUUUUUUAAAUAAAGAAAUAUAGCACAUUUAGACUCUACAUUGACUAUAGGCAAUUUAAUAGGGUAGCAAUGAAAAAUAAAUAUCCACUUUCAAAGAUAUAUUACUUUUUGACUAGUUUAAAUAAGCAAGAGUAGUUUUAAAGAUAGACCUAAGAUUGAGGUAUUACCAAUUAAGAAUUAAAAAACAAGAUAUCCCAAAGACUGCUUUUAAAACUCGAUAUAAACAUUACAAGUUCUUGAUGAUGUCAUUUGGAUUAGCUAAUGCUCCAAUGAUGUUUAUGGACUUGAUGAAUUAACUCUUUCUAGUUUAUAUUUGGAACAUGAAAAGCAAUUAAGGUGAGUGUAGCAAACCCUAAGGGAACAUCAGUUGUAUGACAAACUAAGUAAAAGUGAUUUCUGGCUAAAAGAAAUGGUUUUCUUAUAGCAUGUUAUAUCCACAUAAAGGAUAUUUAUGGAUCCUUUAAGUUCGAAAUGGUGUUGAAGUGGAAAAGGUCUGCGAAUGUAACCAAAAUUCAUAGUUUUCUCAAGUUAACAGGACACCACAGAGUUUAUUGAGGAGUUUUCAAUAAUACAACUCUGUUAACCUGAUUGACUUGAAAUGAGAUGAAGUUGGAAUGAUCAAAGGAAUGUGAAGAAAUCUUUCAAGAGUUUAAAAAAAGGCUUACUACAACUCUAGUGUUGACACUUUCUUCAAGAAUUGAGGGAUAUAUUAUUUAUAGUGAUGCAUCAAAGAGGGUCUUGGUUGUGUUUUGAUGUAAUAUGGAAGAAUAAUUACUUAUGUAUCAAGAUAGUUGAAGCCUUACGAGGUUAACUACCCAAUCCAUGAUCUAGAGUUAGUUAUCACAGUGUUUGCAUUACAAGUAUGAAGACUUUACCUUAAUGGAAAUAGGGAGAUAUCACUAUGGACUUCAUGUCAGAUAUAUCUAGAGGAAAAAUGUGAAACGAUACCAUUUGAUUAUUUUGGAUUAAUUUACUAAGUUUUCAUUUUUCUUGUUUAUGUGUCAAAGAACCAUCUCAACCCAAUAGCUUAAGUUGUUAGGUGAGAUCCCAAGAUAUGAUUUUUAUUAUUCUCUAACACAUACCCCUCAAAUGAAAGCCUGUUAAGUUUGAAAUUGCACAAGCCCACACUACAUCGUGCAUAAUUUUUAUCAAAUAAAUAGGGAUGGUGAGAUUUGAACUCAUGACCGCUUGGUCAUCAAGGCUUUGAUACCAUGUCAAAGAACCAUCUCAACCCAAUAGCUUAAGUUGUUAUAUGAGGUCUCAAGAUAUGAUUUAUAUUAUUCUCUAACACUAUGAAAAUGACAAACUUAGUUAAUAAGUUGGCAAAAUUGUAUAUGAAUGAGGUGAUGAGAUUACAUGGGGUACCUAUAUCGAUUGUUUCAAAUCGAGACUCCAGGUUUACCUUUUGUUUAUGGUCAAGUAUUCAACAUACUCUAGGAACAAGAUUGAAUUUGAGCAAUGUUUUCCACCCUUAGACUAAUGAAAAAUCUAAAAGAACAAUCUAGAUGAUGGAAGAUUUAUUAAAGGCUUAUAUAUUAGAGUUUGGAGGUAAUUGGGAGGACCAUCUACCACUAGUGAAGUUCACCUACAAUAAUAGUUACCAAGCCACGGUGGGAAUAAUUCCUUUUGAAGCCUUAUAUGGUUAAAGGUUUUGAACAUCAAUGUGCUAAGAGGAGGUUGGUGAUAGAAAAUUAAUUGGGCUAUAAUUGGUAUGGGUUACCAUGGAAAAAGUAAAGAUCAUAAAAGAUUAAAUGAAGGUGAUCCAUGAUAGAAAAAAAAAAGUUAUACAGAUAAUAGAAAAGGCCCAUUGAAAUUAACGUUGGAGAUAAAGUGUUUUUAAAAAUUACCUAUUGGAAACAUAUGCUUUGAUUUGGCAAGAUAGGAAAGUUAGCACCAAGAUACAUUGGACCCUUUAAAGUUGUGAUAAGAAUUGAGCCUAUAACAUAAAAGCUCGCAUUGCCCUCGUAUGUAACCAUGAUUCAUGAUGUAUUUGUUAAAAAGGGAAAAUUAAUGGGAAAAAAUAAAAUAUAUGAGAUAAAGUGGGGUUAAUGAGUAAAUAACAAAAAAAAAAAAAACUACAAAUGUUCAUUCCCACCCUUAUGGCUAGCGAUUUUGAAAGAAGAAAGGGUGGUUGGGGUUCUUUGAAUUUUAUUUUUUUUCAUUUCAAUUCUUGAUGAAUCACUUAAAAAAAUUAAAAUGGAGUGAUCAAAAGGAGACAUUUGCGUGGGUUAGAGAGUUUUAAAACUUGAAAGUUAGGGUUUUAGAGGGAUUGGAGGAACGAAGGGAAAAUAAAAAGAACUUGGGGUAUUCUUGCAUUAUUCACUUGAAUUAACAUCCAUUUAAGGUAAGGAGCUCAUCCAAAGAGAUUACUUUGGAUUAUUAUAGGAUAUAUGAAAUGUUGAAUGCAUUAGUGUUAUAUAAAAAUUGAGUUAUAAAAAUUGGUUGUUUGAAUGUUGUUUUUAUGAUGUUCUUUAACAUAAAAAAAGAAUGGGUAUUGUGUGAAUUGAAAUAAUUAAAAAAAAAAGAAAACAAAACUGAUAUUUUAUAUGCUGCACAAAUUGGUCAACCAUUUAGGAUUAUCAACUAAUUUUGUUGAUCGAUUAACAAAAUGAACAAUGAAAUUGGUUGUUGUCUAAUUCGGUUGAUCAAAUCAGUUGACUUUUUGUUUGACCAUUAAGGGCACUAAUAAAAUUUAAUAGUUUUCGGUCGAUUGAUUGGCUAUGCCAUUGUGAGCUAGUUGACUGCUCUAACUCACAAUAAACUAUUACUAUUUAAAAAAAAAUUACUUGUCAUUUCCUAAAUUUAGGAACAAAACUGUGCAUUACUAGAUCAAGAAAAGUGGGGAUGUUACAAUUUGGAAAUGGGUUCCAAUAAUGAAUGGAUAUAGUGUAGUAUUUAAAAUUUAUGUUGACACAUGAGAGGUUGCAUGAUUGGUAUAGCCACAAGGUAGUGCAUCUAGAGUUUAGACAUUAUGUAGGUGUUUGACACCUUAAUACGUUUGUUUAACAAUUUAUUUGGGCGUGUUUGGCACUGCGUUUCAAAAACGCAUUUGAAAAAAAUUUAAUUGUUUUUUUACUUUGAAUUAAUAUGUUUUUUAUGUUUUCAAAUCAUUUUGAUGUGCUGAUCUCAAAAAUAAUUUUAAAAAAAUAAAAAAACAUUAUUGGCAUACUUUUCUAAAUGAAAAGCACUUUGAAAAGCAACCGCAACCACACUCUCAAACACGCACUAUUAGUCUAGUAACUAUAAAUUCUUUAACUAUGGCAUGUUGAUAUUUUAAUUGUAAUACGUGUGGAACAAGUUACCCAGUAAUAAGGCUAGUUCCCGAUAAUAAGCAAGCAAAAUUAGUUACCCGAUAAUGUAGCUAGUGCCUGAUAAUGGGCAAGUAGAACUAGUUCCCCAGUAAUGGGGAUAAUGCCUGGUAAUAGGGUUAAUGCCUAAUAAUAGGUAAGCAAAACAAGUUACUUUGUAAUGGGGCCAGUGCCCAGUAAUGGACGAUGAAACUAGUUACCCAAUAAUAUAACUAGUGUUCGAUAAUGUGUUAGUGACAUUAGUUUGUUCGAUGACCAAAAUAUAUGACCUAACAAGAUGGUUCAAUAUGAUUAUAGGAUUGCUUGAAAGGAUAAAUAUUGAACUUGACUUAUUAUUUUGUAUGUUUUAUUAUGUAAUUUUAUUUACACCUUGUGUUAAAUCAAUUCUAGGUAUAUUGUUACCUUGUGCAGAGUAAUGGAUAUUUGGAAUUUUUUUGUUUAAGUAAUGAAAAUGUAAUUUUAAAUUAAAAAUUCUUUUGCAAUUUAAUUGUGGUAUGUAAUUAAAGCUUAAAUUUAAGAUAUUUGUAAUGUUGUAGAUAAAAUGUCUUAUUAGGCUCUUAUAACAAGAUGAAUUCACUUUAACAUAUUAUAAUUCAAAAUGCAUGUGUUUAUUUUAUGAUGUUUCUUUAUGAAUUUAUAUAUUUAUCUCAUUUGAUUAUUAUUUAUGAAAAUUAUUUUAUAAGAUAUAAAGUGAUUGAAAUUGAGAUUAGAUGUGUUCUAAUCUGGUGAUAUGAUGAAAUGGUUAAGAGCAUGUUUGGGAGUGUGGUUGUGGUUGAUUUUCAAAGUGUUUUUUACUUAGAAAAGUAUGACAAUAAUUUUUUCAAAGUGUUUUGGUUGAGAUCAGCACAUCAAAAUGAUUUGAAAACAUCAAAAAUAUAUUAAUUUAAAGCAAAAAACAAUUCAAUUUAAAAAAAAAAAAACACUUUUGAAACGCAGUGCCCAACAUCCUCAAUUAUAGAAUGAUUAGACCCUUUGAAAUAAAUAAUUAUACAAAUAUGUUUUUUGUAUUAUUGAUAACUUGAUACAUAUAUUUUUAAGAGAAAUUAUGUUGGAAUUUUGGUAGAUUAAAAAACAAUUCCCCUAGCUUCUUACUCAAAUUGAUAUAUUAAUUGUACUAAAAAUUUAAGUAUUAAAUGGGGUUGUCAUAAUGGCAUUAGAGCCCUGACUUGGGUUCAAGAUUUAUAAUGGAAACUAAUUUACGUCGAAUUAUUUCACGAUGGAAAGGUAUGGUGACAAAUCCCUCUUGAAUACAGAGAAGGUUUUAGGGUAUAGUUUCUGAAGAGAAGCAAAGAGAUGAUUCUUCAACAGAUAUUGCCUCUCAUGUGCCACCAACAUUUAUUUAGUCGAGGCAGACAGAAUCAUCUAAACUUUGAAAUGACUUUUUUCACUCAUAGAAGAGGAAGAAAAAGGCACAUGCAGAUGAAAAAGCCAAAUAUAAUGAGAAUAUUGAUGGUAAGGAAAGUAAUUGAUAAGUUGAUGUGCUGAAAGAUUCAAUGAAAGUUCAUAACAAUUAAAGAGAAAUUUUUCCAGCUUAAAGCUUAAAAAAGUUCAUUACACUGAAUAAGUACAUCUUAAAGGAGCUAAGAAGGAUGAAAAAACAUAUAUUCUGCUUGUUAUCAUAUUGAUGAAGAGAAAACUCCUAUUAAAGAAGUCAUGGCAUGAUGUAUGCACCAUAAAAAUAUCCUUUAACGAUGAAGAUUGGUUGUAUGAAUCAAAAUUCCAUAAUCAAUUUUUUUUUUAUCAAAGGUUACAUCAUGAAAAAGAUGGUGAAUUGUAUUUUGGUGGAUGAUGGUUUGGUUGUUAACAUACUACCUUUUAAAACUAUGAAAAAGCUUAGAAUACCUAUGGAGAAACUCUUCCAAAGUUAUAUGAUGAUCCAAGGCUUUAAUCAAUGAUGGGAAAACAUCAUAGAGAAGAUAAGACUUACAAUACACAUGAAAGAUAUGAAGUCCAAAACACUUUUUCACAUCUUAGAUGCCAAAACUACUUAUAACAUGUUACUUAAAUUACUAUGGAUAUAUGAAAAUGGUAUCAUUUCCUCAACACUCUAAAAAUUCUUUAAAUAUUAUCAAAACAGACAACUGAGAAGAUAUUAACAAAUAUUGAUCCCUCUACCAUAGCUGAAGCCCAUUUUGCUAAUGUAAAGUUCUAUUUUAAGUCAGCUAUAAUGAAGGAACUAUCCCCACUUGAUCACCAAGAAGAGGGAAAAGUUGACAUUAUGAGCUCAAAAAGGCAUAAUUCACUUACAAAUAAAGGAAUGACUCGUCCAAUAAAGAACAAAUGAAAAGAAAAGGUAGUAUAAAACUUUAUCGAUAAUAAGGUAUCAUGUAAAGCCAUGAUAUUGCAAUAUAUCUUAGUGUUAUCAAGAAAAUAGAGUCAAUCUUCUUUCACUAUGGAUGAAGAGAAGAUCACCAAGGUCUUAAAACCUUUAUUGAAAGGGUUUGUUCAUCAAUCUAAGUUGAUGGUUGUGAUUCUUAAAGGACUCCUUAAUAAGCGAGUGAAUGGAUUCGAUCUUAAUGCUUAUAAGCUUCUAGCCAGGGCUAGUGAUAGUUAUGGAGAGAUGUCAAUAAAUUAGCAAAGGAUAACGAUAUAACUCGAGUAAAAGGUAAACAAGUUUCUACGAAGACUAAAAAAGCUCAGAGAGAGAAUAAAAUUUCUAGUGAAACUUCAAAGGCUAGUCUUGGAUACAAAUCUUUUACAUUGCUUCAUCUUAAGAUUAAAAAACAGGCUUCAUGAACAUAAGUGUGAAAAAAAAUGAAUGACAAAUAACAAAGUCAGCAUACAACUCUUAGAGCUCUAGUUUAGGAUCAUAUUGAUAUGACUAUGACUCGUGCUUCAAUCUUUAAUAGGAUUGGAACCCAAAAAAGUAUAAAGACUCUAAAAUAAACAUCAUUUCUUAUAAGACUUGGACCAUCCAAGUCAAAAUAUGAUAAGCAUAUACAUUAUCAUUAACCAACUUUGGUUAAGGGUUGAAAGGAUCUUCAUAGCAAAAUAUUUUAAUGAAUAAAAAGACAAUACAAAUAGGUGGUAAGUGCUAGGGCCAUAUUGAAAAGGAAAAAACACAGGAUACUGAUUAUAAACCUCUCUAAUAAAGAGAAAUAAAAGGAAAUGAUGUAUCUCACUUCAAAUCGUAUCACUAUUAAAGAUGAUGAUAAUGAUGAGUUUCUCAUUGAAGAAGAUGUUAAGAAGGCUCUACCCACCUUUAAAUUAGAAAAUAAAUCUAUAGUGGAUUAACUUAAAGAGGUUAACUUAGGUAUCGUUAAAAACUCACAUCCAACCUUUAUCAAUGUAAACUUAUCAACUAAAAAAAGGGUUACAUGGAACUUUUAAUGAAGUAUCAAGAUAUCUUUCUUUGUCUUAUGAUGAAAUGUUAGGUUUUAACCUGACAGUUGCAAUCCAUCAAUUAUCAAUAAUAAAUUGGACCAAACUUGUAAAACAAGCACAACGUCACUUUCAUCCUAAACGCAUCUCAUAAAUUAAGGGUAGAGUCAACAAAGUUAUCUAAUUGGGUUUCAUUCGUGAGGUCAAAUAUCCUACAUGGAUUUUGAAUAUCAUAUUGAUGAAAAAAAAAAAAAAUGAUUAAAUCUUUGUUUGCGUGGACUUUCAAAACCUUAACAAUGUUUAUCACAAAGAUGACUUUCCACUUUCAAUCAUUGAGAUCAUGAUGAACACUACCACAUGAGGUUAACCUUUAUGAAUGGUUCAUUUGGCUAUAAUCAAAUUUGGAUGGCACCUGCAAAUGCAGAGAAGACAAAUUUUCGAACUCCAAAAGGAAUAUAUUGUUAUAAGAUCAUGUCUUUUGGCUUAUAGAAUAUGGGUGCCCCUUAUCAAAGAGCGAUACAAAAUAUUUUUUAUGACAUGUUUCAUUAACAUGUUGAAUGGUAUAUGGAUUACCUUAUGGUCAAGUCGAAGGAAUUUGCAAGAUCUUUGUCUAGUGUUCGAAUAAGGAAAUGACGCUAAUUCUAACUAAAAAUGAACCCAGUAAAAUACAUGUUUGGUGUAUCCUCUUACAAAUUCCUAGGAUUCAUAGUUCGACAUCAAGGAAUUGAGAAUGAUCAAUUUAAAAUUGAUGCCAUUAGAAAGAUCCUAGAGCCAUAAUAUCCACGAGUUGGAGAGUCUCCAAAAAAAACUAGCUUAUAUAAAGAUUCAGUUCUAACUUAGUUGAUCGGUGUAAGCCAUUCACUCACUUAAUGAAGAAGGAUAUGCCAUUUAUUAUAAUGAAGCUUGUAAUAAUGCCUUCAUUAAGAUUAAAAAGUACUUGCUUAAUCCAUAUGUCCUACAAGCACCAGUACUAGGACACCCAUUUUUCCUUUAUAUUGCAGCUCAAAUGCAUUCUUUAGGAGUACUGUUGGCACAAUAAAAUGAUGAAGGCAAGGAGAGUGUUCUCCACUACCUUAGUAGAAUGUUAAAUGGGGUUGAACUGAAUUAUUCUCUAAAAAAAAAAAAGACAUGUCUAGCAUUAAUGUUAUUGAUAAAGAAAAGGCAUUACCUCCAACCACAUUGAGUACAACCAAUGUCUCGAGUUGACCCUCUCAAAUACAUCAUCUCAAGAUUGGUGUUAUUAGGAAGAUUGACAAAAUGAGAGUUAUUGCUUCAAGAAUUUGAAAUUGUCUACUGGGGGGUAAACAAUAGCUGAUUUUCUCAGUGAUCAUCCUAUUCUUGAUGAAUGAGAGUUUUCUAAAGACUUGCCUAAUAAAGACAUUUUAUUCAUUGAAAUGUCAAACCUUGAAAAAUGUUUUUUGAUGGUGCAAUAUGAAAAAAUGAAGCUGGAGGAUAAUCUUCAUCACACCUAAAUGAGAGAUCUUUUUGUUCACCUUCUCACUUACUGAAUGUUGUUCCAAUAACUUGGCUAAAUAUCACAAGUAUGCACUAAAACUGAUGACAACAUUUGAUCACGUCACUUUAGAUCAUGUACCUUAAAAAAGGAAUAAGCAACCCAAUGCCUUAGCCAAUAUGGCUUCAACAUUAAAAUCAAAGUCCAUGUGUCAAAGAUAGAUGAUUUCAUUGAUAACUAGUGACGGAGAAGAGAAAGAACAAGUAGGCAUGGGUUUUGUUUAUGAGAUUAAAAAAAAGACUUGCAUCAACCACUUAUCAAUUAUUUAUAACAUAAUAAUCUACUUAAAAAUCUACGACAUAAGACAAAGGUGAGGCAAAAAACUUCUUGCUUCAUAUACUCUUAAGUUACUCUUAAUCAAUGCUUUCUUGAUGGAGUUUUUUUACGUUGUUUUAGAGAGGAAAAAAAGCUACAAAAGCUUUAGAAUAAACAUACGUAGGAAUCCAAAGAGCACACCAAUCAGAUCUUAAACUUCACUUCUAAAUCACAAGAAUGUUAUACCACUAGCUUACUAUGGCGAAAGAUUACAUGGACUACGUUUGAAAAUGUCAAACUUGUCAAUUUCAUUCUAAUUUGAUCCACCAACCACCUAACCCUUUAUGCUCGACAGUUUUUUUUUUGCUCUUAAAUGCUUUGGGACUUGAUAUGAUAGGGUCAUUAUCAAAAAGCUUAGGAAGGCAUCUUUACAUUUUGGUUGCCACCGAUUACUUAUUGAAAUGGACGGGAAAAAAAAGAAGACAAUUGUAAACUUUAUUUAGAUAAAUCAUCUACAAUUAUGGAAUAAAAAGGUAUAUAAUAACUAAUAAUAGAAAGAAUUUUUACAAUACAACCAUGAAUAAGUUAAUUGCACAGUGUGGUUUCAAACAAAAUAACUCUUUUAUAUACAAUAUUCCAUCUGAUAGCUUGGCAGAAACUAUUAAAAAACCUUUAUGUAAUAUUCUCAAUAAAAUAGUGAAUUGUGAAUUGCUCGAUUAAUGAUUAGCAUGACAGUGUUUAAAAAGCACUAUAAACUUAUCUUACUAAAUCUCAAACAACAACUCAAGCUACAUCAUAUUCCUUCAUAUAUAUAAUAUAUAUAUAUAUAUAUAUAUAAUGUUGACGUUGUUCUUCACUAGAAAAUCAACUUCCAUCUCAAAGGAUUGUAAAUCAAGAAUGACUCUCCAAUAAAGAUAAUAUUUAUCCACGCCUCGAAAAACUUGAAAUAUUUAAUGGGAAGUGACCUGAAGCGCAUCAAUGCUUAGAAUGUCAGCAAGCUCGACAGUUAAGAGCUUUCAUUAACAAUAAAUAUUUAUUCGGGCUUUGAAAUUGAUCCUCGAUUUGGAAAGAAAAAAAAAAACACUGCAGAACAUCAAAGAAAAAAGAUUGGACCACAUGUAGCGCGUGUAGUUCAUCCGCAAACCAGCUGACUCCACUGAAUUGAAACACACAUGCUCAACACGCGCCUAUUUAAUAAACCUGCAAGACAGAAAACACCAUAAUCAUCGAAUUGUUCUUUCUUUGUAGCUUUCUUUUUUUCUUUUGACUGGUGGCUAGAGACUUCUUUGUGGCUGCUGGUUGUUGAAUUUGGGUUGCCGGUGUCGGGUUCCUAUGCUGGCCAGGAGAGAAAAACUGGAGCGGUAGUGGCCAGAGGGGCGACGCUGCUGUGGAUAGUGGAUUGAACAGAGAGGGAGAUGGAAAUGGGUCUGUACGGUUUGCUGGUGAUAUGUGGAUCUGAUGGUUUGGAAGGCGAGAGGGUCGGGUUUAUUGGUUUUGGGGCUGGGCUAUGGUGGGUUUUGUGGUGGUGUUUAUGAAGGAAGGGCUUGGAGAUAUUGGGUUGUUGACAGGGUCUGAGGGUGAAAGAAAGAAUAGGUUCUUUUGAGGGAGAAGGGUCACGAGACCAGGAUUGGAGAGGGUGUCGGUGGUCUGGGUUUGGUUCGGGGAAGAGGAAAGCACGGUGGUUACUGGGAAUCAAUGGUGCUGAGAGGCAGUAGCGGGUAAAUGCGAGUCAUGGUGUUCUUGGUGGAGAAUCUGUGUUGAUGAAUCAAAGGUUGUGCCCACUCUUAAUUUCUUUGUUCUUGUUUUUUUUUUUUCUGUGGUGUGGGUUUUUGAAAGAGAGCAACGGUUAGGAUUGUGGGAAUCUGAAAAACCCAUUCCCUGGCCAAAUUUUGGGCAUUUGAUACCAAAAAUCUGUAUUUUUGCUGAAUAAUUGAUUGUAGACAAUCAAUUUGGCUAGAAUUCUGGGAUUGAGGAGCUGUAAUUAGAAGUUUGGAAUCUUGACUUGAAUGCUGAGGAUUGCAACUGAAAAUCUGAAAUUAAUUCCUUGAUUUGAAUGGAUUCUGGACUAAAUUCAAUUAAUUUGGGCAAAAUCAGUGGAUUAAAUUGGGCUGAAUUGAAUUAGUUGGAAACAAUUGGAGUGAAUUGAUAUUUAAUUGGACUGAAAUGAUUGUAAAGUAACAACUAGG